AGGAUGGCGAUCAGAUGAAGGUGGGGUACAGAGGUUGACACUAGGUGGAGGUGGAGAGAUUUUCUUUGCAAAUUUCGAUUCUAACAACGAGCUGGAAGCUUUGGCUCGCCAACGAAGAAUAAAGCUGUGUACUUAGCCUUAUAUCCUUAGUGCUUGGAUGAGAAGAGAAAAUGGGAAGAAAGAAAAAACAGUGAAGUGAAUUUUUAUUUUU